AGGUUUCCGUAGGUGAACCUGCGGAAGGAUCAUUGCCGGU
rnacentral:rRNA from 1 species